rnacentral:rRNA from 1 species
GCGUCAUAGAGGGUGAGAAUCCCGUCUUUGGCACGGAUGCCUGGUGCUUCUGUGAUGCGCUCUCGAAGAGUCGAGUUGUUUGGGAAUGCAGCUCAAAAUGGGUGGUGAACUCCAUCUAAAGCUAAAUAUUGGCGAGAGACCGAUAGCGAACAAGUACCGUGAGGGAAAGAUGAAAAGCACUUUGGAAAGAGAGUGAAACAGUACGUGAAAUUGUUGAAAGGGAAACGCUUGAAGUCAGUCGCGUCGACCGAGACUCAGCCUUGCCUUGGCUUGGUGUACUUCUCGGCCCGACGGGUCAGCAUCAAUUUUGCCCCUCGGAUAAUGGCAGGGGAAAGGUGGCACCUUUACGGGUGUGUUAUAGUCUCCUGUCGAAUGCGAGGGGUGGGAUUGAGGAACUCAGCGCGCACCUCAGUGUCGGGGCUUCGGCCCACGUCACGCGCUUAGGAUGCUGGCGUAAUGGCUUUAAACGACCCGUCUUGAAACACGGACCAAGGAGUCCAACACGCCCGCGAGUGUUCGGGUGGAAAACCCGUGCGCGUAAUGAAAGUGAAAGUUGGGACCUCUGUCGUGGAGGGCACCGACGCCCGGACCAGACCUUCUGUGACGGAUCUGCGGUAGAGCGUGUGUGUUGGGACCCGAAAGAUGGUGAACUAUGCCUGAAUAGGGUGAAGCCAGAGGAAACUCUGGUGGAGGCUCGUAGCGAUUCUGACGUGCAAAUCGAUCGUCAAAUUUGGGUAUAGGGGCGAAAGACUAAUCGAACCAUCUAGUAGCUG